GCGGCCCGUGGGUCGCGGGGCCCCGGCCUGUGCCCGGCCCGGUACCGCGACCCCGGGAUCGAGGCCGGUUCGGCGCCGCUCAGCCGCC
rnacentral:tRNA from 1 species